rnacentral:lncRNA from 1 species
GAUUUUUUUUUCUGAAAAGGAUACCAAAUUGCUAUGAUUUAUUCAGUAAUCCUGGAUAAAUACUUCGGUAUUAUGUAGGAACUUGGGUGAUCCUUUCAGUUUUAUUCAGUACUGUUAUUUUUUAGAGGUCAUGUACAUUUCAGAUCAUCAGCAGUAAUGCAGCAGAUAGGUGAAUUUCUGUUUUAGAGAGGAUUGCCAGGUAUUGUACUCUCACAGGUUCUUAGGAAAUUUUGUGGAAUGGUCAAACAGGACAUGUGAGUUCAUUGUUCAUUAUAUAUCAUAUGAUUCAAUACAUCAGAUUCAAUUAAACUUGAAUCCAUUAUACCCCAAAGUUAUCUAUCAUCUACAGUUCUCUUAAAAAAGAAAAAAAAAAAAAACGUUUUGUGCCUCACUUUCCUCACCUGUGCGAUGAGGUGUUUAUAUUAUUAAAUUCAAUAACUAGCAGUUAUUUUGGUGGUUAGAGCCAUCAUUCCACCUCCCAAUGUUAAGACAGUGAAUUAGCUUUUGAAAUGUUGGCUGUUGGUCUGCAGUCAAGAUUUCAAAAGGGGGACACAGUUUGCCACCUAGCUCUGAAAUGCCCUGAUUGUAAAAAGAUGUCUGUGCAAAAAAUUUUCUUACAUUUGACUAGAAAGUGUUAAUAUGAUCCAUACUACUUAGUGCCCUUAUGGUAGAAGCACAGAAAGUAACCUAGUACAUUUGAAGUAAAAGAUACAUUUUUUUAGAUUCUAACAAAUGUUUUAUCCUUCAUUGGAUUAUAUGUCCUUUAAUGAAGUGCUUGAUCAGUUUCAAACAUGUGUAUGCAAUGAGAUGAUCAAGUAGAAACACUGUAGGGGCCAAUUUUAAGGAAUAAGGAGACAACAGCCUUUUCCAGUCAGUGUACUCAUCUAAUUCCAAGCAUCGACUCAUUAAUUUACCACUUAUUCUACUUUACUGAGAUCUAAUGAAUUAGACUUUUUUAAGGUUUUGUUUUUUUUAACUGUUUGUUAACAUCUGAGGCGACUUGCCCAAAGCCCUUGCUUAUGUAAGCUUUUUAAAACAAAAGUGUUUUUUAGGUGCAUUACCUUGAU